rnacentral:rRNA from 1 species
GUCUAUGGCCAUACCACCCUGAGUCUCCCAUAUCUCAUCUGAUCUCAGAAGCUAAACAGGCUCAGGCCCAGUUAGUACUUAGAUGGGAAACAUUUCAUUCUAUUUCAGACUUUGGCCUCAGGGAUC